rnacentral:lncRNA from 1 species
GCAGUUUCUCGGCACCUUUAGGGCUGGUUUGCUGCACAAAUGUGAGGAAAAAAUGUGUGUCCACCAGGUUUCAAGCAACAUUGGUGACAAACUGGUGAGUUUCGCAGAUGCACGCCACUCGUGCUAAAAAGGACGUAAAAAUCGCCGAAUGACCACCAAAGUGAGCCUCUGCAUAGUUGUUUUGAACAUUCACCCUGUAUAUUAACCGUUUGCACUUAUCGUGCCGAUAUGGCCGUUAGUCAAUAUUUGCGCAAUCACGUAAAUUAACGAGAUUUACAGGUUGGUUAACGAUCGGGGCUCUAUUGUUCUCCAAUGCGAAGAUAGUGUAGAUGCGGAUGGCGUUUGAAUGAAGAAUCGGUGGCCGGCGAGCGAGGAAAGUAAAAAAGCGCAGCUUUGAAUACAAAGAAACAAACUUGAUCGCCUACCUAGCCACAAAACCGAAAGUAAAAGUCCUCCGAGCAACAAGCCGAAGAAUAAACGAAAAUAGUGCGCUCAGAGGCAACCGACAAGUAAAAGGUCUCGUAGUGAGACAGGGGGAACAUCCAAGGAUGAGCAAUGGCUUCAAUGAACGAAAGGCGAAUCAGAGACGUUCGUGAUCUGUGGACGGCCAGUUCAAGGGAGGCAGAGAAAGAAAACCCGCGAGUUGUGCUAGAAGGCAAUGUGGACAACAAUCGCACGAAACACAAGUAUAAAACCCUGGAACGACACUUGAGUAUGAAGAAAACGAUCCGGAAGAAAAUGAUGCGAGAUUUGAGGGAGAUUGGGGACGCUGCCGCGCAAGAGAACCAAAAUCAGCACGCGGCUUUCCUGGAGCAGAUCAAGAAUGACCAGCCGCCGCCCGAAAAUCUGGAAAAACCCAGCUUAUGGAGAAGGCUGACGAAGGGCUGGAGCCAUUGAACCCUCCACUCGAUCAGGCCGUUGUUUUACUUAUAUUAGUUUAUAUCAUUCUCGUGAUACUUUGCAGUUUUGUUUUCGAUCCCUAGCUUUAAGUUUGAUGCCUGUUCCUAAUAUUAUACUGAUGUGUGUUUCUUGUAUUA